GGCUGGUCUGAUGGUAGUGAGUAAUUAGAAUGUAUUAACAUUAGUGUCACUAAAGUUGGUAUACAACUCCCCACUGCUAAAUGUGACUGUCUGAA
rnacentral:Y_RNA from 10 species